CCUACGGGAGGCAGCAGUAGGGAAUCUUUCACAAUGGGCGAAAGCCUGAUGGAGCAACGCCGCGUGCAGGAUGAAGGCCUUCGGGUUGUAAACUGCUUUUAUAAGCGAGAAAUAUGAUGGUAACUUAUGAAUAAGGAUCGGCUAACUACGUGCCAGCAGCCGCGGUCAUACGUAGGAUCCGAGCGUUAUCCGGAAUUACUGGGUGUAAAGGGAGCGUAGACGGUUAAGUAAGUCUGGAGUGAAAGGCCGGGGCCCAACCCCGGGACUGCUCUGGAAACUAUUGAACUUGAGUGCAGGAGAGGUAAGCGGAAUUCCUAGUGUAGCGGUGAAAUGCGUAGAUAUUAGGAGGAACACCAGUGGCGAAGGCGGCUUACUGGACUGUAACUGACGUUGAGGCUCGAAAGCGUGGGGAGCAAACAGGAUUAGAUACCCCAGUAGUC
rnacentral:rRNA from 1 species